AAUCCGUCGACUUUCUAAAUCGUGAGGG
rnacentral:tRNA from 1 species